rnacentral:rRNA from 1 species
UACGUAGGUGGCAAGCGUUGUCCGGAAUUACUGGGUGUAAAGCGCGUGUAGGCGGGAGGCCAAGUCUGCUGUGAAAUCGCCCGGCUCAACUGGGCGGGGUCGGUGGAAACUGGUCACCUGGAGGACGGUAGAGGCGAGUGGAAUUCCCGGUGUAGUGGUGAAAUGCGUAGAGAUCGGGAGGAACACCAGUGGCGAAGGCGGCUCGCUGGGCCGGACCUGACGCUGAGGAGCGAAAGCAUGGGGAGCGAACAGG